CAUCUCACAGAAAGCCAGAGGGGAGGACGUGGGGCUAUCAGUCCAACUCCUCAGUUAAUAGCCAGGGAAACAGAAGCCCAGGGAGAUAAAGACGGUGGCAGAGGAGGAAUUCUUUCUUAGCAGAUCUUCCAUUCCUAAUCCAGGAUCAUUUCCAGGGCUCCCAGGCAAAGGCUUCUCUUUUCUAGGUUCUCAAGAUGCUUGAAUCCUGGGACAAACACAGAGGAAGGAGCUCCUAAGGAUGGGGGCAGUGGUGAGGAAACAGGCCACUGAGACAGUGAUGGUGUUUGUAGGCAAAGAAGCUACUUGUAUUUGCCAACCACACCAGGAGGCCAGGUUAGGAGUUUCAAAACAAGUUUGCUGCCAAGAAAAACACACAAAAACCCAUAGAUUCAUGCUCUGUAAAUCUCAAGAAGCAACUCUGUCCCAUCCCCAGUCAUGCCCUACACUGGGUCUGUCUUAGAAUUCUAUGUGCAAACUGGCCCCUGCUACUUAUGACACCCCCGAGGGCCUGGCUUUCAUUCAUCCUCCUAUCCAAUCACUAUCUGGUCCCCAGGGUAAAGUGCAGUAUCUAUACCCAGAGUCACAGCCUGCAGAGCCUCUGGGAGAAGCCGGCCACCAGGAUGCUCUUCCCAGUGACGUAGCUGGCAUCUGUAGAGUGCAGGAAGGACAUGGUUCCUGCACAGUCCUCUUAACCCCUGCAUGGAAAGAGAACAGAACUGAGGCCUCAGCCUAUGCUCUAAUGAACUCUGAUCGCUGGUCCUGCUGCUCUGAACAUAGGGCCCAGCACCACCUCCAGCCCUGAAUCCCACCUCCCUGGCCCAUCAGAGGCCUGGGCUCCAUAGAGAGAUAUGGUGGGGCCCCUCAUGCCCUCCAGAUCCCACCUCAUGGGCUGUGCAUCCCCAGACUCUGUGAGAGGACGGGCUGAUAGGUGAGGAUACAGUCCGAGAGCCCUGUCUCCCCUGGAGAAGACUACCUGUCUCUGCUAUCCACAGGGGUUUUUAAAGGAGUUUUGCAGAGCCAGAUUAUCUUCAACCUGAAAAAAUUCAGAGGCUCAGUGCUAAAUAGAACUGUGAAGGGCCAGAGAGGCUGCCAUGGCAGACUCAUGCCCUUGUGGGCAGAUGGCCCUGCUCAGUGCUGGGUCUGCAGUCCCUCGACUGCUCCCAGAGAGGACAGCCCUGGUGCAGAUACAGGAAGUGAGAGGCUGCUGGUCUCACAAAGCCAUGGCCAGACUGGGGAAACCAACAAAGUGGUUGGUGGGGGCAACUGGGAGCUGCUGAACCCUCAUCAUGUGGUUAAAGUCAGUUCUUGAUGAUUCCUGGCAACAGGCGGGGCACCUGGAUACCCUUUGGUGCCAGCUCUAUAGCCAAGGGCUUGGUGAGUCCCAGCAGUGCAGUUUUGCUGGUGGUAUAGGCCUCCAGCAUCUAAGAAGGAAAUGAAAUGGAUAAGGUGCACUGCGCUGGAGGAGAGGGGCUCUUGCUAGACCCCCAAGGCUAUGGAGGAUGACUAUGCCUGCACUUACACCUGCACUCACACCAGCACUCACACCUGCACUCACAUGUUUCUCCCACUCCACUCCAGGAAAUUACCAGUGAACAAAAUCUGAGCAGGAGCGGAAUGAAGCCUGGGCUUAAAGAAAAGUCAGGAAGGCAGAGGCUGUGUUCACCCAUGCUUAGCCCAGAGAGAAUUGCUUAGGGUGCAGAGCCAGGGAAAUGCACUAAAGAGACCCAUGACCAGAUUCCUGCUCUACCAUGACUGGUCGCCCUUGGGCAAGUCACUUAUCAUCUCCAUGUCUCAAUCUCCUCCUCUGCCACAGGGAGUUUAUCAGGCCUGCUCUGUGACAGUCAUAGGAAUGUCAUGCAGGGACACUGAUAGCCUAUAGUGCCCCCUGGUGUAAAUUUUUUAAAAAAACUUUCUUCUGAGCUUAUGCAGCCCCACUAGUGCCUGACUUUGUGAGAGCAAAUAGUAAAGCCACCCUGUUCUUCGGGUGAAUGUAGCCCCAAGCCAGGGUACAUGUCUUGUCAAGCAGAGCAUGGACUGGAUUUCAGCUCCUACUUGUUUCUAGACUAGGCGACCUUGUGCAGUGAACAACCUAUACAACCACACAUGGCAGCCCUGGGGCUUUAGGAACUAAAUGAGAUAAUGGCAAUAAGUGCAGUUUUAAAUGUGGGCAGGACAGGCAUCCAGUGUUGUGCACUUGGAUUUUACUAUCAUGCGGGAUCAAUAUUUACCUCCCUCAUCCUGGCAACCACUCCACUGCCCUAUCCCCAAACUCCCCACUAACUGUUUGAGGUGCACAGACAGCAGCAGAGGCAAUCAGCACCACAGGCCUUCCCCUGUUAGAAGCGGACAGGCAUGACAAGUGGAAGAUGUACCUAAUUAAGAAGCUAUUUGCUUCCAGAAAAUGAGCUUCCAAGUGACGAGGAGGCAGAACUGAGGAAGAGGAAAGAAGGGAAAGUAGGGACAGUGCCAGGGUCUCUGGGAAGAAGUGACUUCUUUGGGGAAGUUAGAGCUGAGAAGGUCCGACACAAGCUCCCCUGCUCAGAUGCCCCAGGACUCCUAGGAACUAGCACCCAGGCAGGGCCAAUCAGCAUCUGGAAUUCUGGAGAACAGGACCUGGGAACAUGGAGCCAUCAGUGUGAGGCUGCCACCUGGGGACGGCCACUCCCACAGGAGGAAAAUGCACUGAGAGUGGCCUGGGUUGCAAAUCUCACUUCGGAGCAGGAGCAGUAACUAGUUGCUGACUUGGACUCAAACAAGCCCAGACGAAUGGCAAAAGGUGGAGAGUAGCUCCGCCAUGAGAGACCCCAGCAGGGGAGGGACUGAAGGAGCUUCUUUUGGCCUCUCUGGAAAGGUUAAGGUCUCAUGGCUAUACCACAUGGCCUUGUCCCAUCCUUGCAGCUACCACUGGCCUGCGUUUCUCAGACGACAGAGCACGUCAGAGGUGAUUGGGGCUCCCCUCUGGGUGUGGAGUCCGCCCGCCACAUUCUUUCCAAAUGUUCCCCUUCACUGUGUUGGUCACAUCCUGUGGGGCCCAAGAAGCCUGGAGACGUGGUUUAGGAAGUGACAUGAGAGCCUGGCAUCCAGGGCACACUCCACCCUGCUCUCCUUGGGAUAUUCCACUUCCUGGGCCCCAUCCCCCAGUGUUGCCUCGGGGUAGCAGAGAGCAAGGCAAAGUCUCCCCAGCUCCCAUGGAGCCCUCACCCCAUCUUCUCCAUAUGGGGCAAAGGUUGGCUCAGCAGCAGGGCCAGGGCCUUUGCGUUCCUGCUUGGGAUUUGAAGUCAGAAAGAGGAGGGGAAGGGGGCCUGUCCGUUCAGCCGGCACCUCUGCUCACCUGGAGUCCCACGGACCAGACUGAGGGGAGGCACUGAGGGUCUGCGCUGCUGCUCUCUAUGUGACCGCUGAGUCAUGGAGGAAAAAGGGACCUGAGGCAUGUGCCCUGCCCCCCGGGAACACUUGGCUAAAAACCACCUCACUGUGAUUUGCUGCACAGACUCGCCGCAGGGCACAGCACCCUCCAGAAAAACAGGUCACUGAAAAUAAUAUCAGGGGAGGAAGUCAAGAAGGCUGCUGUAUUCAUUCUGCUUUAAUGAGUAGAGGAGAAAUCUUUUGCCACAUUUGGAGAAAGGAUUGAAGAGAAAUGAGAGCCUGGAUGUGAAGAAAACAUUAGGAAGCUGCAGCAGUAACCUAUGUGAGAAAUUAAGAGAACCUAAAUCAGAUCCGUUGGCCAUCAAGAUUUCACUCAUUUUGAGACCUAGAGAUUGGUGCUCCUGGAGCUGUGAAAUGCGUGGCCUCUGUAGCCCUGUGAAGGUCUUGUUUCUAUGGCGAUACAAGAGAAAGUCUUUGCAGAGUUGUUGCAGCUGGAAGUCUUCACUUACUUUAAGAGCUCAUUAAAGCUAGUGGAGCCUUCCAAACCUGAAAUGAACUGCUCCUUACAGAACUGCCAAAAGGAAGAAAUAGAAAAGAAAAAAGAAGCAAUAGGUCCAAAAAGUCAAGAGAAGCUAUGCUGUACCCUCAACACUCUGCCUAGAGAUUUCUUCCAUGAAAUAUCCUAGUUCACAUCUGCCUCCUGCAAACUACUAGGACAUGGACACUGCUCAGCCAAGUUCUGUGCCAAUUUGUAACAAGAAUGGCCUUUCCUCCUAUUUCCAAUAAGGCCCCAUCAGCAGAGGGAGGAGAAGAGGAGAAGCAGCUGGACAUCAGAGACUAUGGUUGGACAUUGGAGAGAAGCAGCUUGACUUCAAAGGGACGGCUUGAUGGCAUUGCUUCGGAGAGGAGUUCAGCCAGGGACAGCUGGACUCUAGGGGAAUAUUAUCUUCCCACACCAUCCACUUUUCAGCUCCCCUUCCCACUGAGAACCACUUUCAUUGGCAA
rnacentral:lncRNA from 1 species